rnacentral:rRNA from 1 species
GAUGAACGCUGGCGGCGUGCCUAAUACAUGCAAGUCGAGCGAACAGACGAGGAGCUUGCUCCUCUGACGUUAGCGGCGGACGGGUGAGUAACACGUGGAUAACCUACCUAUAAGACUGGGAUAACUUCGGGAAACCGGAGCUAAUACCGGAUAAUAUAUUGAACCGCAUGGUUCAAUAGUGAAAGACGGUUUUGCUGUCACUUAUAGAUGGAUCCGCGCCGCAUUAGCUAGUUGGUAAGGUAACGGCUUACCAAGGCAACGAUGCGUAGCCGACCUGAGAGGGUGAUCGGCCACACUGGAACUGAGACACGGUCCAGACUCCUACGGGAGGCAGCAGUAGGGAAUCGUCCGCAAUGGGCGAAAGCCUGACGGAGCAACGCCGCGGGAGUGAUGAAGGUCUUCGGAUCGGAAAACUCUGUUAUUAGGGAAGAACAAAUGUGUAAGUAACUAUGCACGUCUUGACGGUACCUAAUCAGAAAGCCACGGCUAACUACGUG